rnacentral:rRNA from 1 species
UACAGAGGGUGCGAGCGUUAAUCGGAUUUACUGGGCGUAAAGCGUGUGUAGGUGGCUUCCUAAGUCGGUUGUGAAAUCCCCGGGCUCAACCUGGGAAUUGCAUUUGUGAACUGCACGGCUAGAGUGUGUCAGAGGGGGGUAGAAUUCCACGUGUAGCAGUGAAAUGCGUAGAGAUGUGGAGGAAUACCGAUGGCGAAGGCAGCCCCUGGGAUAACACUGACGCUCAUGCACGAAAGCGUGGGGAGCAAACAG